UUUGUUAUUAGCAAAAUGACUUUACUCGAAAUGCGAAUUUAUUGAACUAUGUGUGCAACGGAAGUGUGUGGGAUGUAAAAUUUCAAGAACUGAAUAAUGUUUUUGGCUGUUUCUCUGAUGUUUAACAUAUGUAUGUGGAAAUGUAUUAGGGAUUCAGCAUAUAUAUUUAGAUUGGUGAUUUCAACUGAUGUUUUCCGUUUUUUAUAAGCUUGUCUGUUUACAUCCUGAAGAAAAGGAUAUCUGGAGAUUGACAUUUACUGAUAUUGCGCCCUUACAUUUAAUGAGGACUGUCUGUUUUUGCUGGAUUUCGUGAAUCGCUUUUGACAAAAGAAUAAAAUACAGAAAUGAAAGAAAAACUUCUAGAUGACUAUGGGAAGUAAUUGUGAUUUUUUUAACGUGGUUAUCUUACUGGUCGUUAGUUCAGUGCUCAAAUCAAUGAAAAAAAUAUUAUUUGUUUGAGAUGCACGUGGAACAAUAUUUUUUAUCCAAGCGGUUUUACAAACUUUAAAUUCAUAAUCUAUACAUUUUUCAUUAGCAAAUUUUUUAUAUAUGCAAUAUUUGAGUCAAUAUCCCUAAUGGUCCUCAAAAUGAGGAACUCAAAAGUUGUGUGUAAACAAAAAAUCUCUGUGUAGUGAUAUGUGACACGUUUCUAUGAUAAAUAAGUGACUGAGCUUAACCAUUUGUGUUGAUUUAGAAAGAAGGGGAACAUAGAAUAAAUGUGUAAAAACUAUGGAGCUAUUAAAUGUGUUCAAAGUAUUAAAUUUUCAAAGAACUUAUUGUGUUAAAAAAGGGAUUUUUACCACGAGGAGCCGCAUCACGAAAGGAUUUUCGGGGUUUGCUAAUUUACGGAAAAAGUAAUCUCACUUCGUACCCCGAAAAUUUAACCACAUAUGUGAAAAUGUCUAAGCUUCGAAACGAGCCAUCAUACAUAUCCAAGUUAACAAUAUGGACUGAGCAACUGAACAAAAGAUUACCAUUACCGCCUAUGGAGAAACAUUUGAGAACAUUGACCCAAUUUACAACGAGAUAUUCAGCAGCUCUCAGACAGAUUUAUGAAUAAUUGCACCUUGUACACCAGAGAAAAUUGUGAAAAUGAAGUGUCAGACAUAUCAUUACUAUUUAACCUGAGACGGCAAACUAGAGGUUUUAAAAAGUUCUGAAUAACUGAAAUGGACAAUAAUACACAGAUUUAUUCAGAAAGUCAUACCGAUGAAGAUCACACAAGAAUAUUUGGAAAAAUUAGAACUAUGGAUUUCAAUAUGGGUCAAUAUCCCUAAUGCGCCUCAAAAUUAGGAACUCAAAAGUUGUGUGUAAACAAAAAUCUCUGUGUAGUGAUAUUUGAUACGUUUCUAUAAUAAAUAAGUGACUGAGCUUAACCAUUUGUGUUGAUUUAGAAAGAAGGGGAACAUAGAAUAAAUGUGUAAAAACAAUGGAGCUAUUAAAUGUGUUCAAAGUAUUAAAUUUUAAAAGAACUUAUUGUGUUAAAAAGGGAUUUUUUACCACGAGGAGCCGCAUCACGAAAGGAUUUUCGGGGUUUGCUAAUUUACGGAAAAAUUAAUCUCACUUCGUACCCCGAAAAUUUAACCACAUAUGUGAAAAUGUCUAAGCUUCGAAACGAGCCAUCAUACAUAUCCCCAAGUUAACGAUAUGGACUGAGCAACUGAAGAAAACGCAACCAUUACCGCCUAUCAAAGAAACAUUUGAGAACAUUGACCCAUUUACUACAUUUUUAAAUAAACAAAUAUGUAGAUAAUUCUCUUUUGAAUGUAUGCUAUCUACAAUAUAGACAUCACAUUCGCAAAUUAUGAUUUUGUUCACCUGAUAAACACAGUCUAUGUUUAUGAUACAAAGUAAACAAAGAUAUAUAUACAAUAUAUACAAUAUUAAAAAUAUGAAGAUUUAUAA